rnacentral:rRNA from 1 species
CCUACGGGCGGCAGCAGUGAGGAAUAUUGGUCAAUGGACGAGAGGCUGAACCAGCCAAGUCGCGUGAAGGAUGACUGCCCUAUGGGUUGUAAACUUCUUUUAUAAAGGAAUAAAACGAGGCACGUGUGCCUUUUUGCGUGUACUUUAUGAAUAAGGAUCGGCUAACUCCGUGCCAGCAGCCGCGGUAAUACGGAGGAUCCGAGCGUUAUCCGGAUUUAUUGGGUUUAAAGGGAGCGUAGAUGGGUGGCUAAGUCAGUUGUGAAAGUUUGCGGCUCAACCGUAAAACUGCAAUUGAUACUGGCAGUCUUGAGUACAGUUGAGGUACGCGGAAUGCGUGGUGUAGCGGUGAAAUGCUUAGAUAUCACGAAGAACCCCGAUUGCGAAGGCAGCUUACCAAACUGUGACUGACAUUGAUGCUCGAAAGUGUGGGUAUCAAACAGGAUUAGAUACCCUAGUAGUC